GCCUUACCGCCUCCACGGCGUGCUGCAGGAUGGAGGUGAACUUGGAGAACAUCCUGUCCCGCGACUGGAGCAGCCGCUGCCGGGAGGACCGCGAGAGCUCCUCGAUCCGCCGCCGCCGCUCCAGGAGCUUUGAAGGAAUCACAGAACCAUAGGAGAGACGAAGAGGGCUUUACUUCACCUCAAAGCCAAAUAUUUCAGCGGAAAAGGUCAUCCCUGCCAUCUUCCCAUGCUGCAGGAAAAGCAGAGAUACCAUUUUGGAGCCUGCGUCGCUUCUGAAGAAAAUGUGGAUUUAAGGCACACGUGUUUGAUUAAGGUGUCUAAGAGAACACGAAGAACUUCCUGCAUUCUGGACUUUUGCUUCAGAGAGGUUGAGGAUUUGGAAGGUACAUUUUUGUACCCCAGAAUGAAAACAUGCCAGUAGAGCUAUGCAUAAUAUCUGUUUAUAUUCUGCACAGGAAUUUUUUGUGUUUAUAAUAACCAGAUUGACAUCUAUGUUUUCAGUGAGUACUUGGAUGAAAUAAAGAAUGAAGUGUUAGUGGCUCAGCAUGAUCUCUGCUUUUGAGGAGGGCUAAAGAGAUGUUUCCAAUCAACUUCAUGCUUUCUGAUUCUGGGCUUUAUUAUAGAAAGCAAGAAUUCUGUGCAUUGGAUACUGAAGAGCAUACAGUGGGCUGAAGUGCAAACUAUGCUUCUCCCAAGUUUAAUCAGUGUCUUAUAUGUAGUGUCAUACAUGCUUUUGUUGGCUGUCAUUUUCCGUCAUGAAUUUUCUGGUUGUCUGUGCUCUCAGCUGUGUGCAACACCUCCCUCCUUGUUGAUUUGCUAGUGGCACCACGUAAUCAGCUCAUGCAGUAUUUCUUUAAAUCCCAUUUUCAGGCAUUUCCUGAUCUGUGCACCCUGCUCCACAUCUGCACGUCUGCUCCUUCUGUAGAGACAUUAAUUUGUUUUCUAAUGGGUUAAAACUUCCUAGUCAUUAACCUAUUGUGCAGUUGCUUACCAGUCACAUCUGCAAGUCUUUUUACGCGUCACUCAUUGCUACUGUGGAAGACACGAUACUGGGCUGGAUGGACAAAUCCGUGUGCCCAGUAGGCUAUUUCUUAGGCUAUGUCUUAUGUUCGUACUUCAGUUACACUGUCUGUACUACCCUGCUUUAGCUUAUAUAAUGGGUUGUUAAGGAGACCACAAGGAGGUCAGAAGUACGCUUUGUCAGUGAAAUGAGACAUUUCUUUUCCAAACACAUCAUGUUUUCCUCAAAUGUUUCUAUUCCCCUGGAAGUGUUAUAAUCCAAGCUUUCCUCUAGAAGUAAAUAUAUGAAUGUUCUGCCAUAGGGUAUCUGCAAUA